AGCCAAUGAACUUGAACAAGUGUAUACUUUGAAAGUAUAAAAUAGAGAUAAGCCUCUAUUGGCUU
rnacentral:tRNA from 1 species